rnacentral:rRNA from 1 species
AAACGCUUGAAGUCGGACGUGCAGGGCAACUUGCAGGCCAACAUCGGUUUCGAUAGCCGGAUAAAGGUAGAGGAAAGGUAGCAGUUUCGGCUGUGUUAUAGUCCUUUACUGAAUACGGAUAAUGAGACCGAGGACCGCAGCGCAAGCUUAGGAUGUUGGUGGAACGGCUUUAAACGA